rnacentral:rRNA from 1 species
UCAAAUUUGGGAAUCUGGCAGUCUUCGAUUGUCCGAGUUGUAAUCUAUAGAAGCGUUUUCCGUGCUGAACUGUGUAUAAGUCCCUUGGAACAGGGUAUCAAAGAGGGUGACAAUCCCGUACUUUACACAAUCAUCAGUGCUCUGUGAUACGUUCUCUACGAGUCGAGUUGUUUGGGAAUGCAGCUCAAAAUGGGUGGUAAAUUCCAUCUAAAGCUAAAUAUUGGCGAGAGACCGAUAGCGAACAAGUACCGUGAGGGAAAGAUGAAAAGCACUUUGGAAAGAGAGUUAAACAGUACGUGAAAUUGUUGAAAGGGAAACGAAAUUCAUGAAUCAUGUUUAUUGGACUCAGCCGUUCUUCGGUGUACUUCCUUUAAACGGGUCAACAUCAGUUUUGUCCGAUGGAUAAAGGUAGUAGGAAGGUGGCUCUCUCGGGAGUGUUAUAGCCUAUUGCUGCAUACAUUGGAUGAGACUGAGGACUGCAGCUUGCCUUUAUGGCCGGGGUUCGCCCACGUUCAAGCUUAGGAUGUUGACAUAUUCUCGAAUCACGA